rnacentral:rRNA from 1 species
AGGUCCCAAGGGUUUGGCUGUUCGCCAAUUAAAGCGGUACGCGAGCUGGGUUCAGAACGUCGUGAGACAGUUCGGUCCCUAUCUGCUACGGGCGGAGGAUACUUGAGCAGAGCUAACCUUAGUACGAGAGGACCGGGUUGGACGUACCUCUGGUGUUCCGGUUGUCAUGCCAAUGGCACCGCCGGGUAGCCAUGUACGGAAAGGAUAACCGCUGAAAGCAUCUAAGCGGGAAGCCUCCUGCGAGAUUAGGUAUCCCUGGGCGCAAGCCCCUGAAGACCCCUCGAAGACCACGAGGUUGAUAGGCUGGAUGUGGAAGCACGGUAACGUGUGAAGCUUACCAGUACUAAUCGGUCGUGAGGCUUAACCUU